AACACUGUUAACCUGCGGUACCUGCGGAAGGAUCAUUACAGAGUUGCAAAACUCCCUAAACCAUAGUGAACGUUACCUAAACCGUUGCUUCGGCGGGCGGCCCGGGUCCUUCCCGGCGCCCAUCGGCCCUCGCGGGCGCCCGCCGGAGGUAAACCAAACUAUUGCAUUGUAUGGCCUCUCUGAGUCUUCUGUACUGAAUAAGUCAAAACUUUUAACAAUGGAUCUCAGAUCGGAAGAGCA
rnacentral:misc_RNA from 1 species